AGUCGAGCGCUACCUUCGGGUGGAGCGGCGGACGGGUUAGUAACGCGUGGGAACAUACCCUUUUCUACGGAAUAGCCUCGGGAAACUGAGAGUAAUACCGUAUACGCCCCUCGGGGGAAAGAUUUAUCGGUGAAGGAUUGGCCCGCGUAAGAUUAGAUAGUUGGUGGGGUAACGGCCUACCAAGUCGACGAUCUAUAGCUGGUUUGAGAGGAUGAUCAGCAACACUGGGACUGAGACACGGCCCAGACUCCUACGGGAGGCAGCAGUGGGGAAUCUUAGACAAUGGGCGCAAGCCUGAUCUAGCCAUGCCGCGUGUGUGAUGAAGGCCUUAGGGUCGUAAAGCACUUUCGCCAGAGAUGAUAAUGACAGUAUCUGGUAAAGAAACCCCGGCUAACUCCGUGCCAGCAGCCGCGGUAAUACGGAGGGGGUUAGCGUUGUUCGGAAUUACUGGGCGUAAAGCGUACGUAGGCGGAUCAGAAAGUAGGGGGUGAAAUCCCGAGGCUCAACCUCGGAACUGCCUCCUAAACUCCUGGUCUUGAGUUCGAGAGAGGUGAGUGGAAUUCCAAGUGUAGAGGUGAAAUUCGUAGAUAUUUGGAGGAACACCAGUGGCGAAGGCGGCUCACUG
rnacentral:rRNA from 1 species